AGAGUUUGAUCCUGGCUCAGGACGAACGCUGGCGGCGUGCCUAAUACAUGCAAGUCGAGCGAAUUGAUGAAGAAAGCUUGCUUUCUUCUGAUGUUAGCGGCGGACGGGUGAGUAACAUGUGGGCAACCUGCCCUUUAGUUUGGGAUAACUUCGGGAAACCGGAGCUAAUACCGAAUAAUACUUUUAAUCUCAUGAUUGAAAGUUGAAAGAUGGUUUCGGCUAUCGCUAAAGGAUGGGCCCGCGGUGCAUUAGCUAGUUGGUGAGGUAACGGCUCACCAAGGCAACGAUGCAUAGCCGACCUGAGAGGGUGAUCGGCCACACUGGGACUGAGACACGGCCCAAACUCCUACGGGAGGCUGCAGUGGGGAAUCUUCCGCAAUGGACGAAAGUCUGACGGAGCAACGCCGCGUGAGUGAUGACGGCCUUCGGGUUGUAAACCUCUUUUGUUAGGGAGCAAGGCCUUAGGGAGCAAGGCACUUUGUGUUGAGUGUACCUUUCGAAUAAGCACCGGCUAACUACGUGCCAGCAGCCGCGGUAAUACGUAGGUGGCAAGCGUUGUCCGGAUUUAUUGGGCGUAAAGCGAGCGCAGGCGGUUUCUUAAGUCUGAUGUGAAAGCCCCCGGCUCAACCGGGGAGGGUCAUUGGAAACUGGGAGACUUGAGUGCAGGAGAGGAAAGUGGAAUUCCUAGUGUAGCGGUGAAAUGCGUAGAUAUUAGGAAGAACACCAGUGGCGAAGGCGACGAUCUGGCCUGUAACUGACGCUGAGGCUCGAAAGCAUGGGUAGCGAACAGGAUUAGAUACCCUGGUAGUCCAUGCCGUAAACGAUGAAUGCUAGGUGUUGGAGGGUUUCCGCCCUUCAGUGCCGCAGCUAACGCAUUAAGCAUUCCGCCUGGGGAGUACGACCGCAAGGUUGAAACUCAAAGGAAUUGACGGGGGCCCGCACAAGCGGUGGAGCAUGUGGUUUAAUUCGAAGCAACGCGAAGAACCUUACCUGGUCUUGACAUCCACGGAAGUUUUCAGAGAUGAGAAUGUGCCUUCGGGAACCGUGAGACAGGUGCUGCAUGGCUGUCGUCAGCUCGUGUCGGGAAAUGUUGGGUUAAGUCCCGCAACGAGCGCAACCCUUAUCCUUUGUUGCCAGCGGUCCGGCCGGGAACUCAAAGGAGACUGCCAGUGAUAAACUGGAGGAAGGUGGGGAUGACGUCAAGUCAUCAUGGCCCUUACGACCAGGGCUACACACGUGCUACAAUGGCGCAUACAAAGAGAAGCGACCUCGCGAGAGCAAGCGGACCUCAUAAAGUGCGUCGUAGUCCGGAUUGGAGUCUGCAACUCGACUCCAUGAAGUCGGAAUCGCUAGUAAUCGUGGAUCAGAAUGCCACGGUGAAUACGUACCCGGGCCUUGUACUCACCGCCCGUCA
rnacentral:rRNA from 1 species